ensembl:lncRNA
UUUCUAGUUGUAGAUUCUGCUCUUGUGGAGUCUUUCUUGUAAGCCAAGAUCUCCAGAAAUGGGUGAGCACUUUUACUUUUCCUUUGAAAUACCAUUCUAUCUAUGCUAGUCCCUUUGCUGUUAUGCUCCUGUAUCACUCUUCUUUUGUGUUAAUCUUUCUAAUUUCAGCAGUGGUUAAAAGCUGAAGAAAGAUUAGAGCCAGCCUUAUUCUAUCAGCGUUGACCUAUUCUGUUCAGCUAAAAUUUGGUGAAACAUGGAUUGUAAAACCAUAAAACAUCUCAAUUAGUUUUUGUUGGCUGGCCAGGCAAACCUGUUAUUUGACAGUGCAUAAUGAUCCUGAAUUGUAAACUUCAUCAUUCACAGGUUGUGAGAAAAUGGGCACAAGUACUGUUUGCUAACCUUCACUAGAUAAUUUUUCACAGUUAUCAUCCAGAAAGCAUAAAAGAUAUGUUAUCUUUGAGCUUGGUUUGUCAUAAUAUAGGUGAGAUUUCGUAUAAAGCCACUUAGUAUGUGACUGUUUUGUGUUCUUCAAAAUAAGUCGAAUCAGUAAAAUAUCUUUUUGACAUUUGAAGUGUUGAGAAUAAUAUGACACCUCUCCUUUCAGAGACUAAUAUGUUAUCAUUCUGCUCUGGUUUACCUUUUCUUGACACCCACUGCUCUACAACUCUAAAAACACCUCCUAGCUUCAUUUGAUAUGUAAUACAAUAUUUGCAUUAAUACCUGAAGCCGGAGUCAAACAUUCCAAAUUGACUUGUGUUUUUCCAAGUACCAACAAGUGUUUGGAAUUUUCCUCUCACUGGUAAGGUAUGUAGAUGUUUGAUGAGGAAAUUUUGGCUUAUGUUAACUAUUCAUGUGGUAUCAGAUGAGUGGUUUUUAUCAGAGUUUGAAAAACAGAUCAGCCUCAUUUCUGUUUUCCUACAUGAAAUUCAUUUCACAUGUAGACUUGAAGACUGGUUUCAUAGGUCCCUGGUUUUCCCCCCCCCCCAGAAAGGCCUUAUUCUUCUCUUUUAGAAGAGACCCAGAUCUACAGAAAUGCAAUUUCAACUGAAGUAUGUCUGGCAACCUGCAUGGAAAUUCACUGCCAGUGAUAUGCCAAGCUUGACAGUUUUGAUGCUAAAUCUUAAAGUUCAAAUUCUAUCUAAAUCUAUCACUGAUUCUUAUUUAACUGUUGUGUCCGUUACACUGCUGAGGAAAAGAAGUUACUCUUUGGAUAACCAACAGAUGCAUAAAUAGGACAAGUAAGUAUCAGGUUUCUGGAGCUUCUUCUGGGACCUUGCAGUUAUCAGAAGAGCUGAAAAGAACUUGAAACAGGCAAUUGAUGGCCAAAGCUAAAAAACAGGAAGAUGUUAGAGUGCUAUGUAUUCCAUUCUCUAAAAUGGGACAAACAGAACUAAUGCUACUGAUGGAAUCAUAAUUUUGUCCUACAUCUAGGUUAGCCAGAGCUUUGUGUUGAUGUAAACAAUUGUCAUCCUGAUAGCUUUAUAUUGAAGUUAACUAAAGGACCAGCAAUGUGAAAAUCCAAGUUCUCACAAAUCCAUUUAGUUAAAUGUGAGCUGGAUAAGCUUAGUCUGUAGCAUUUUACUGAAUCAGGCUGAUGUAAUAGCAUGUCCCUAGCUUACAUCCUAUUUUUUUCUUGGUCUAAAUCUGUUCCUCUCAGGAGCCAAAGCCCUAUGUUUCUCCAAUGCCUGGUUGCUGCUAUAUUCCUCCUCUAAGAACUAGCAGAGGUUUCAGUCACUGGGCAAUGUGAAGAACAACAACAAUCUACAUAAGCAGUGUGUGCAGGUCUACUCUUUCCACAUCUGAAGUUAAAAUAACUGAACUACUAUCUGGGCCACAUCACAUACACAUGUAAGCUGUGUAACCCAGAACUUGCUAAUAGCAAAUUAAAGCUGUCAAAAUUAUUCCAGAGGUGUCAGCCUAUGUCUCAAUAAAACAAUUACAG